rnacentral:tRNA from 1 species
CCUGGUGGCUCAGAGGUUAAAGCGUCUGCCUGUAAUGCAGAAGACAUGGGUUCGAUCCCUGGGUCAGGA